AAAACCUAUUUCAGCAUGCCAAUUGUGUUGCAAUGUGUUAUUUAUUUUCUGAAGAUGUCCCAGCAAAUCUCCAGUUAAUUCCCUGGCAUAACUGUUCUGUAUAGUAAUGAUUGCAUCUUCCUUACAAAAACUGCCCCACCCAUGCCAGUUCCUCUCCCUCUAUUCCUUCAUGUGACUGUUCUUUGACUUCCCUAGUGGAAACAUAGACUGGUCUCCUCCUCAUUCUCUGAAUCACCAUGUUACUUUUUAGGUUUAUGCAAUAGAAGUGCCCAGUUCAGGUCCAUGAAACAUCAGUGCGUGAUACAGUCUUCCGAGUGCUUCAGAAGAGCCAUGUUUGAAUGUCAGUUGGUGGGAUCAGGGUGAAAAUCAGACAGAUAGGUACAGCUCAGAUAUCCUGGGGAACCAGGUAUAGAGAAAACAAGUGUGAAAUGAGGAAAAUUGCACAAUUCAGAUUAGUAUUGCCAUGGAGACAAUUUCCACAAACAAGGAAAAGUAGAGCGUUAAGGCUAUUAUAUGGGUAAUUCAAGAAAGGAAAGUUUGUGUCCUACUAGAAGCAGACAGAUCUUCACAAAUGCUUCCCUUAGUUCUUUGGUCUUUAACAGACUCCCUUUGGAGUUCGUGAGAGAGGUACGGGAAAUGGGAAAUGGCUGGUCCCUGAUGCCAUGCCCUAGUCCUCUGUCCUUGCCUCCUCUCCUCCAGCAAAACAGACUGUUACAGUCAGCAUUAGAGUCCUUCAGUGUGUCAGAGGCAUUUGCUGUUUCUGAGGCAGCCCAGCAAUUGAGGGUCCUGUGCUUGGUGAGACCAAUAAAAAAGACAGACACCUUUCCCAUGGUCUUUGAAAGAUGAUAACUUAUUUCAUGCACACUGGCCUAAAAAGUCUGUGUCUGAUUUUCUUCAACAAGCUCUCUAGGUUUUCCUCCAGUUUUGUGAAAAAUUAAAAUUCCCUUGAAAAUAUUUUGACAAAAACAAAAGGAACAUCUUUUUUUAAGUUUUUUUUUAAUUUACCUAUUCAUGAAAGACACAAAUAGAGAGAGAGAGGCAGAGGCAGAGGGAGAAGCAGGCUCCAUGCAGAGAGCCCAACGCGGGACCCGAUCCCGGGACUCCAGGAUCAGGCCCCGGGCCGAAGGCGGCACUAAACCUCUGAGCCACCUGGGCUGCCCAAAAAGGAACAUUUUUCCUUCGUUUUCCUUCUACUGCCACACAUACAGUUCCUUCAGAGUUAUGCAAAGGAAGUAGUUUGUCCCUAUGAUUCCUAACCUGUCCCCGUAUUCUGAUAUUCUAGCCAGCUCUGAAUUCAUUUUGCUUUCCACUAUCUGAACAGGCUUCCCACGUACUUAGAACUUGGAAACAUUGCUGUGUUUAAUAUCCUCUUAACACUAAGGCAUACAUAAAAUAAGUACCAUUUAUGGAAGGCCUUUGGGGGUGAUAGGAGCAGUUCUAGGACCUUUACAAACAUCCCAUUUAAUCUUUCAAGCACCCUUUGGGAUAGGCAUGAUGCCAUGUUUAUAAACAAAGAAGGCAGGGGUCAGAGAUGUGAAGCAUCUUGCCCAGGCUCUUGCUGCCAGUAAACAGCACAGCCAGGACUCACACCCAGGUUUCCCUAACCUGCAGCUCCCUAACCUGCAGCCUGACUUUGCUCCUGGAUGUUUACUGUGUCCUAUCCCAGCCAACCCAGGGUGAUGAUCCUGCUUGACUUUGUUAGUAGCUCCAAGCGGCCUCACAUCAAAAGGAGCAAAAGUGACAUAGCUCUACGUAGGACUUUUCCUUUUUUCCCCCCUUUGCUUAAGCAAAGGGAGCUGCUAGAGGAAGGUCUGAGCCUUGAUCUUUUAUAACUACUCACUUAUAAAAUGAAUGGCUGUUGAAGUAGGCUAGGCUUGUGUCCAAGUGAAAUCUGUGGAGGAGUCAGGUUCAUGUUCCUCACCUACCCUUUUGGUGUUCAUGGUGUUAUACCCCUGAAUGGACCUUUAUCCUUGAGCCACCCCCAGCUACAGUGUUCACUGUAGACCUGGGCUGCUGGGAGAUCUCCACAUGCUACUCACUUUUUUCCCCUGAUACCAGAACAAAUCAGUACCUCACUCUUACCCCCUAAUAAGGCCCUGAUAAAAGACUGGCCCUUCCUGAAGUGCUGACUGGUGAACAGAAGGCCAUUGAGCCACUAACAUAGGGUAAUCCUUGAUUUUUGUACCAUCUUUCCUAUAUCACACUACACAUCAACAUGAUUCUGAAUGCCAAAUUCACACCUUUGCCUGCCAUCCGAUAUGGUGGCUCUGCUUGUCGUGCACAAUUCUGGCAGUAACUGGGGGAAACGCUUCCUACCUUCCCCAAGGUCACUCCUUGCCACCUUCCAGCAACCAAGCUCACAUGAGCUCCAGCUUUACCCAGGCUGUGCCGCUCUUUUUGGUAGGGAAGGAAAAAGGUAAGAGCCACGGUUGAGGAGGAUUCUCGGAAAGAGGUACUGCUGUGGCUUCUCCUACCACUUAAAAUGUUGAGACAGGAUAGUUGUAGGGACAAGGGUACCUGUGCAAAAUCAUAAAUAGGACUUUUAUAAAAUUCAGUUCACUGUAUUUCAGUAUUUGACUUUGGCUAAACAGCUUAUCAGCCUGCUGGGAGUCUUGGUAAUUACUAUUGAUUGGUACUUCAUGCUAAGCAUAUUAUAUGCAUUGUCUAAUUAAAUCCUCAACAAUUACCCUACAUGAUAGAUAUUUUGGUUAUCCUGCCUCUUUGUGUAAAAACUGAAGACGUCCUGUUUACUUAAACUUGUGUUUUCAUGUACCUAUAGGGAUUAAUCAGGAAAUUUAAAAAGGCGCUUUUUUUAUACCUUUUCCUCCUUGGAGCUCCCCAUACUAAUUAAUGGGUAAAACAGUGUUAUUUGUACCUGGAAUCUUUGCUUUUGGUGCUCUGGUGCUGAGGUAAGAAAUGAGCACUCAGUGGGUCCCGGUGGUAGUUGCACACUGUAUAAACAGAGGGCAUACAUCUCAUCUGCACUCUGCUGAGUUACAGGAUCUUGGGAGACAUUCCUAUCUACCUGAUAAUUUCAUUUAUUACCUUUCAUUUACUUUGAUAUUUACCUUCCAGUAUUUUUUCUUCCCACAGUUUUUCCAGAAAUGCAAUUAAUUCAUAAGGCCAAGUCACGUUCUUAGUAUGAAUUACUUUCAAUUCCCCUGCAUUUUUAGUAACUCCCUUGUCUAUUUAGUGUCUCAAAAGAAGAACUUAGCAACGGAGACUUUUUCUAAAAUGGAGGUGUGGUCUGGUCGUAAGUUAUCAUCCCUUUCCACAAAUAACUGAUUCAGUCUGGUUUCUAGAUGAAAAAUGUUACAAGACCCAGAUGUCGGGAAACCAUGAAGCUGUGUUUCAACUAUGAAGAUAAAUCUGCUUCCUGCAUCUGUUGAGAUAUACUAUAAUUACAAUUGUUCAUAAAUGCCAUACCUUAUCUCUCUUUUAACAAAUUGCACAAGUCUUGCCAAAAUAAAUGCCAUUAUCCGUAUGUAUGCUUCAGGGAAUCCUCCCAAUUUGAUCAGUGUGUUUGUGUGUGCAUCUGGGGCGGGAGGGAGGGAGAAGUAGGGAGAGAGGGAGAUGGAGAGAUGGUAAACAUCUCCAAAAGGAUGAGAGUCCUUGGAUGACAUGGGUAUGUAUUCCUUCUGGUAAUAAUUAAGCUAUUCCAGGCAACAGUGUCAUUCUGGAAAUAAAAAGGUUUCCUGUUGAAAACUUUGCCAAGGAGCAGCGCACCUUGAAAUUCUCCCUGAGGUUGAUGUGUGUCUAAUUCCAUCUCAUAAAACUGUUCAUUUUGAAGCUUUGGCUGUAACGUCAGAAAUGUACUAAAUAAAAACUAUUUAAUUUAGAGAAGUAAAGGGAAGAAAUAAACCUCUUUAUGUAAGCUUCAAGGUGUUAGGGCUUAGAGGGCUUUUCUAGUUUCAUGAGAAUUUGUACUACUGAUUUUUAUAUAUUCCUAUUUUUGAGAUGAACAGAUCUCUGGGGGAAAUUGUUGCAUUACAAUGGUGUUUCACUGUGACCCCUAUCAAGCUCAAAUCUGUUCUCUAAGCCAAUGACAGCUUGUCACUUCUGUUUACUGUCCUGUGAAAAGUCAGCUCCAGUUUCCCAGAAGUUGUGUGUUUAUGAUGAGUCAUUGCUUCUCCUCAGUGUGAAAGUUGUCAGCCCUUUUGAUUUGGGUGUACAUGCUUAAAAGUAUCUAAACUUGUAUUCUAAUCUGUACAUGCUCUCCUAACUGUUAAAUUGUGUUAUUGACUACUUUGGUUAUCUUGCUUGAAGAUUGAUUCCUACUUUUUAAUUUGAUAGAAAUAAAGGUUUUUUUUUCUGCUUA
rnacentral:lncRNA from 1 species